rnacentral:rRNA from 1 species
GAUUAACGCUGGCGGCGUGCAUAACACAUGCAAGUCGAACGAUGAAACUCAUUAGAUUUCUUCGGAAUGAAAAUGAAUGGAUUAGUGGCGAACGGGUGAGUAACGCGUGAGUAACCUGCCUUACACAAGGGGAUAGCCUCUGGAAACGGAGAAUAAUACCCUAUGAAACCAGACAAUCGCAUGAUAAUCUGGUCAAAAUGUUUAGUGGUGUAAGAUGGACUUGCGUCUGAUUAGCUAGUUGGUGAGAUAAAAGCUCACCAAGGCAACGAUCAGUAGCCGGCUUGAGAGAGUGUACGGCCACAUUGGGACUGAGACACGGCCCAGACUCCUACGGGAGGCAGCAGUGGGGAAUUUUGCACAAUGGGGGAAACCCUGAUGCAGCGACGCCGCGUGAUUUAGAAGGCCUUCGGGUUGUAAAAAUCUUUUGUAUAGGAAGAAAAUGACAGUACUAUACGAAUAAGGUCCGGCUAAUUACGUGC